rnacentral:miRNA from 1 species
AACUAAAUGUCAAACAUUCU